rnacentral:rRNA from 1 species
UACGUAGGGGGCUAGCGUUGUCCGGAAUCAUUGGCGUAAAGCGCGUGUAGGCGGUCCGGUAAGUCCGCUGUGAAAGUCGAGGGCUCAACCCUCGAAUGCCGGUGGAUACUGUCGGGCUUGAGUACGGGAGAGGCGAGUGGAAUUCCUGGUGUAGCGGUGAAAUGCGCAGAUAUCAGGAGGAACACCGAUUGCGAAGGCAGCUCGCUGGAACGUUACUGACGCUGAGACGCGAAAGCGUGGGGAGCAAACAGG